CCUUACUCAUUACCCUAACUACGCCGUGACGCUGUUGUCCUGGUUGGCCUCUGCGACGAUCUCCGAUCUUCUGGCGUUUACUGACGACCUUCUCUGUGACAUCUCCUCCGGCAUCGAUCUCCAUCGACGACAUCUCCUACAGCGGCGAUUUCAUCCGGUGUCGUCUCCUGCAGCUUCCUCUCCUUGUCGUCCUCUGUGUCUUCUCCGCCAAAAUCGUCAACGCCUUCCUCUUCGACGAUCCAGAUCCGCCGCUAGGGAUUACAUUCCGCAGGAGAGGAAUUCCUUUGUCAACUUCCAAGCCAAAACCGGUGUAGAGAAUGCAGAACUGUGUCUGGUGUUGCUGGACCAUUGGAUACUCUUGAUAAAGUUAAGUGAUCUUAGCAACAACCACAUUGGAGGGCCAUUCCAUUCACCGUGCUGCCAUUGUGAAUUCACAGACCCUUGAAGAAGUUGCAAGACUUAAAAAGGGGUGUUCAAAACCGAUUCGGACCGAACAAAACCGAUCAACUGAACUAAUAAAACCCAGAACCAAAAAUCAAAAAAACCGAAAAAAUCAUGUUUUGCUGUUUUUUAUGCGGUUUGGUUCGGUUCGGUUUUCGAUUCUGACACUGAAAAUCCUAACCGAACCAACCGAACCGGUAACUAAAAAACCAUUAAAAAACCCAUUAGUUAACCCAACCCAUUAGGCAGCCCAAGAGCCCAUUACCCCACGGCCCACGUCCCCACCCCCAUCAGAUAACCUAGCUUCCCCAUUACCCCACCCCCACAUCUCCCCGCAGCCAAACUCUCAAAGAAACCCCAUUACCCUGACCUCCCAGCAGCCCCUCCCAUCCCCGCUGAACAGCGCCUCCUAGCAGCCCCUUCCAGCCUCGCCGAAUAGUGCCUCCCAGCCCCUCCCAGUAGCCCCUCUCAGCCCCGCCGAAUAGCGCCUCCCAGCCCCUCCCACCAGUAACCCUAACUCCGCUUAGCCUCUCUCUAGUCUCCAAUCCUCUGAGCUCUCACCACCUCUCAGCGCCGAAAACUCCUCCCCCUUCCCCGCUGUCAAUGCUGUCAGACAGCACCAUCGCGGCGGUGCGGCUCUUUUCUCUCCCUCUCCCUUCGUCGUAGCAGUUCUCUCUCCCCGGCGUCCUCCACACACCACCUCUUCCAGCAGCACGUCGUCUACUCCACGCACCAGAGCCGUCGUUCGUCGUCCUUCGCGAGUUCGUAGCCACUGUCGUCCUCGCGUUGUAGUCAUCGCAGUAGCCAUUCCUCUGCAUCUAGAAUGGGGAUGCCUCUUAGUUUUCAGGUAUAGGAUGCAUCCAGAGAUAUGCAAAUCCUCUUCACUGCAUUUUGAUGACAAUAAAACACAAAAUAGGAGCCAAUAACGUUAGGGACUUAAAAGCUCUCAUCUGAAUGCUCUAGCAGAGUCAGAAACAGAGGGUGUCCAAGGAGCUGCUGCGGUUUUUAAUCAGGUCCCCUUUUAGAAACAUAAACACAAAUAUGAAGGCUAUGCUAUAGACUGGAGUCUUCUUGUUCCCGGAGCCGGAAGGCUUGUAUCUGGUCCUCGGAUUGAUCGUCGUUGUCGUUCUCUGUCUUGUUACCACCCUCCGUUUGCUGAGUCGCUGGCGACAGAAGCAGUAGGUUCCGGGGCUGGUCGUCUUUGUCGUCUCCUUGCUCCGAGUCUCACCAUCAGCUUCCUUCACGCAACCAAAAGUUGGUCCACGAUUUGGUGAGUUCCAAUAAAUUCUUCUGUUCUUUCUUUCUCAGUUUUGUUGCUGUAAUACAUGAUUAUAUUUUGAUUUUGUUGUUGAAAAUAUCACUGAAUUAGUAUUUUUGCUGCUGAUGAAAAUAAUUACCGGUACAAGUUUGUUACUAACGUUGCACUUGCUUCAACUAGGAUUAUUAGUAUCAAUGAAAAACUAUCAAUUGUAUAUUAACAAGGAUGAAGUUAAAAGAGUAGAAGAGGGUCGCAUUAUUAUUUCAGAUGCAAUAUUGGGCACUACUGGAAGAAAAGUUAAAGUUUUAGAAGUAUCAAAUAAUCACAGAGAAAAAGUUCAGAGAAAGAUACGGUAUUUUGAUAAUUCUUCGAGACUUUCAUUCCAACAUUUUUUACAAGGGCUUGUUUAUUUUCUCGAGGGGGAGACAUGGAUUUUUAUUUACCAGUAUUAUGACAAGGACUUAGCUGAUGUCUGGGUCGAGCAUUGGGACAAAUUCAAGCUUUAUCUAAAGUAAUUUUUACAAGCUCUCGUAAUAUUAUAUGAAGGGAAGAAUAUGUAUCAUGGAAACUUAAGAGACUCCAACUUGGUAACUAAUGGGGAUAGAACCUUUGUUAGUGGAGUUGAGGGAAAUCAUCUUCCUGAUGGUUUUCAAGAUCAAUUUUUUACUGAGGAGAUGGACGCUCUACGUGGACUUUUAUUAGCUUCACAUAAUCUCGGUCAAUCUCCAAAGGAAAUCGAUCUGUUUUUAGAUUUUAUACGAACGUAAGUUAAUUUAUUCUUUUAGUUAGUAUAUGAUUUUUAUUUGAAUUUUG